CAGAGUUGCAAAACUCCCUAAACCAUUGUGAACGUUACCUAUACCGUUGCUUCGGCGGGCGGCCCCGGGGUUUACCCCCCGGGCGCCCCUGGGCCCCACCGCGGGCGCCCGCCGGAGGUCACCAAACUCUUGAUAAUUUAUGGCCUCUCUGAGUCUUCUGUACUGAAUAAGUCAAAACUUUCAACAACGGAUCUCUUGGUUCUGGCAUCGAUGAAGAACGCAGCGAAAUGCGAUAAGUAAUGUGAAUUGCAGAAUUCAGUGAAUCAUCGAAUCUUUGAACGCACAUUGCGCCCGCCAGUAUUCUGGCGGGCAUGCCUGUUCGAGCGUCAUUUCAACCAUCAAGCCCCCGGGCUUGUGUUGGGGACCUGCGGCUGCCGCAGGCCCUGAAAAGCAGUGGCGGGCUCGCUGUCGCACCGAGCGUAGUAGCAUACAUCUCGCUCUGGUCGCGCCGCGGGUUCCGGCCGUUAAACCACCUUUUAACCCAAG
rnacentral:misc_RNA from 1 species